UACGAAGGGUGCUAGCGUUGUUCGGAAUCACUGGGCGUAAAGCGCGCGUAGGCGGCGAUACAAGUCAGAGGUGAAAGCCUGGAGCUUAACUCCAGAAUUGCCUUUGAAACUGUAUUGCUAGAGUGUCGGAGGGGAUAGCGGAAUUGCUAAUGUAGAGGUGAAAUUCGUAGAUAUUAGCAGGAACACCGGUGGCGAAGGCGGCUAUCUGGACGACAACUGACGCUGAGGCGCGAAAGCGUGGGGAGCGAACAGG
rnacentral:rRNA from 1 species